rnacentral:rRNA from 1 species
UACGUAGGUGACCAGCGUUGUCCGGAUUUACUGGGCGUAAAGAGCGCGCAGGCGGUCGCUCAAGUCGAGUGUGAAAGCCCCCGGCUCAACUGGGGAGGGUCAUUCGAUACUGAUCGACUGGAAGGCAGGAGAGGGAAGCGGAAUUCCCGGUGUAGUGGUGAAAUGCGCAGAUAUCAGGAGGAACACCGGUGGCGAAGGCGGGUCUCUGGGCCGAUACUGACGCUGAGGAGCGAAAGCGUGGGGAGCGAACAGG